GAUUACCCCUUGUACCUUUUGCAUAAUGAAUUAACUAGUAUAAGACUUAACAAAAUGAAUUUUAGCUAAGCAGCCCGAAACCAGACGAGCUACUCACAAACAGUUUACCAAGAACUAACUCAUCUAUGUGGCAAAAUAGUGAGAAGAUUGUAAGUAGAGGUGACAUGCCUAACGAGCCUGGUGAUACGCUGGUUGUCCAGAAAAUGAAUCUAAGUUCAGCUUUAAAGAUACCAAAAAUUCAAAUAAACCCCACUGUAGCUUUAAAAGUUAGUCUAACAACCGGUACAGCCUUUUAGAAACGGAUACAACCUUGACUAGAGAGUAAAACUUAACACUACCAUACGUAGGCCUAAAAAGCAGCCACUCAAUUAAGAAAGCGUUAA
rnacentral:rRNA from 1 species